AGAGCAAUAGUUUAUAAAAACACUUAAUUUGCAAUUAAGAAUUGAUGAAAAUCUUGUUUUA
rnacentral:tRNA from 1 species